UACGGAGGAUCCAAGCGUUGUCCGGAUUUAUUGGGUUUAAAGGGUGCGAAGGCGGAUCUUUAAGUCAGUGGUGAAAUCCUGCAGCUUAACUGUAGAACAGCCAUUGAAACUGAGGAUCUUGAAUUUGGUUAAAGUAGGCGGAAUGUAUCAUGUAGCGGUGAAAUGCUUAGAUAUGAUACAGAACACCGAUAGCGAAGGCAGCUUGCUACACAGUCAUUGACACUGAGGCACGAAAGCGUGGGGAGCAAACAGG
rnacentral:rRNA from 1 species